rnacentral:misc_RNA from 1 species
AAGUCGUAACAAGGUUUCCGUAGGUGAACCUGCGGAAGGAUCAUUACUGAAUUUCAGGGGGGUUGUUGCUGGCCUCUUCGGAGGCAUGUGCACGCCCUUCGAUCUUCUACUUCACACCUGUGCACACCUGUAGAGUCUGGGGCGCUAGUCGUCCCUUUCUCUACGUCUUCACAAACCAUGUAUGUUAUAGAAUGUAUAUCAAUGGUCGCCGUAGCAAGUGACUAUAAAAUCUAUACAACUUUCAACAACGGAUCUCUUGGCUCUC